UUCAACUCAACAAACUUUUUUUUUUAUCUUUAAAUGUUGUUUAAACAUAUUUGAUCGGUUUUGUUCCUUGCAAGUUAUGUCAGUCAAAGGAAAAUACUGAGGCCGUGUGUUUAAAGCUACUGCAAACUACAAUGUUGAUGUUAGCAUAUUCAAUUCUUUGGAUGAGCCCCUGCUGUUCACUUGGUGCUCAUCUUUAAGGAUGUUUUAGCUUCUUUAGUUCUCUGUUUUAUUACUACAGGUUUCUAGGCUUCUUUUGAUUACUUACAUUGUGUCUUUUUGGUUCAGUCACAAUCCAUAGACCAGGUCGUAUUUAUAUCCCUGAUGCCAAUACCUGAAAGGCUGUUAAGUCAUCAUUCUACUAAACCCAGUAAAACCAAUCUAGAUAUUUUUUUCUUUUUUUCAUCUUAAUUCAGUUCUUCUUCAUGAUUUUAACACCAACUUAAAUUACUCACUGUUAGUAUCAUCUAAAGAUCUCAACAUCAGAGGUAGAGAGCUUACACAAGAACAGUAUAUAUGAUGAAGUAAAAGAUGCUGUAAGGAUUGAUUUAGAAGGCAGAGUUGAUAUACGAUAGUUGUCUCAAGAGAGGAGUUACUUAAGGUGAGUGUGAGUGGGUGAUCACAUUUUGAAAAUGGUCUUUCGUUUUUUUAUUCUAACAGUGAAACUUUUGUAAAUACAUAUCGGAGGAGAUUGAUAUAAAGCUCGACUUGGUCCCUCCAUAUCAAAUAAAUUUUAUGUCUAGGCAGCUCCUUAGCAACAACGGUUUUCAACUUUUCAAGCAGACUAGGUUCGGUGGAUAAAACAAAAGGCCUUUGAGUGGCGAGAGUGACGUAGACGCGCCUAUCUCAAACUCUCUCAAACAAGUAGAUCUCGCAUGGGAGGAGCUCCGACUUCCGGCGUUUUGUCAGAUCUUGGCGUUCGGGGCCGCGGGAUGCCUCCGAGGUUGGCUCUGGUGGGUCGUCGGUUAGCCGUGGAGGGAUCUAUGGUGGGUUUCGAACACGCCGGCCAGAGUGAACUUCUGGUGACAUCGGGAUUUUCUAUUCCAAUCGUGUUCGUCGGAGUUGGGGCUUUGUGCUCCUUGCAUCUUCUCACCCUCGCUUUAGUUCUAUUCUCUUAGAUUUAGAUCUCGAUCUGGAUUGAGCUGUGCUUUGUUUGCUUGAUUUUGUCUUAGCCAUUGUUGUUAGGUACCGUCGUUUCUCCGACGUCGAGAUGUACUCUCCGACCCCCUUUUGGGAUGUUUUUUUAAUAUAUUGAAAAAAAAAAAAAAGGUUCGGUGGAUAAUCUGAUAAUUACAAUAGAAUUUUAGAUGAUAACGGUAUUCUCUGAUAUAUCAAGUUCUGUAUACUACUGAUAAAAAUAAUGAAAUCUGCUAAGAAAAUGGUUUAAUAUAGACAAGAAGGAAGAGAUUGUGAAAAUAAAGAAUGGAAGUUGGAUUUGCAUAAUAUUGAAUAAAAUCUAUAGUCUUAUAAAUUAACUUAUAUAAGUAAGAUAAAUGAAUAUUUUGAUUAUGGGUCUGGUAAGAUGGGUUGUAAGUGCAUAAAUUUUGUUGUAAGAAGUUUGUAGAUUUUAGGUUGUAGUGAUGUAAUUGUAAGUUUUUAAUGUUGAAAAAUAUUACAAUUUUAAACCGGUGUUUUAAGAAAAAAUAUAUUUUAAAAGGAUUGUAGUUGUAAAGAGGAGGGAGGGUCAACUAAAUUACCAAGAGAACAAUUAAAAACAAAAUUUAUAAAAAAAUGUAAGUGAAAUAAAAAAAUUCUAUAACCCAACCAAUCAAACACAUAGCUAAAAUUUAAUCAUUUUUUUUUUCAUUUUGCUUAUCACCUUAAAUAUAAUUUCCAAUAACAAAAAAAAUCUAAUAUCAGAGAUUUGAAUAUUAAAACUUUUGAAAUUUGUAAGACAGAAAAAAUAAAAAAUUGAAAAUAAUUUUAUAAUUUUCCAGCUACUUAUAUUUUUAUAAUAGAUUAUGAUACUUAUAUACCAAAAUAAAUAUACAAUUUAAACAAAAAACUCGGGCGUAGGCCGGACCGAUACUUGUAUUUUAUAAACUAACACGUUAACCUAUGGAAAUUCAUCGUAGUGGGAGACUUUGUAGCCAAGACUAUUAAUUAAGCCUAAGGAACUAAUGGAAACUAAAUAAUAUAUAGAGCUUAUAUGUGAGGGUAGACAUGUGAAAAUGGGUAUAAUUUAGUGGAUUAACCCAAACUAAACCAACCCAUGGACUUUAAAGAGUCAAGAAUUUGGAUAAUUGGGUUUAAUGGAUAGUGGGUUUAAUAAGUUUGGUUUAGAAUGGGUUGGACUAAUAUGAGUUAAUGAAUAACCCAAACCAAACCAAUUUCUUCUUUAAUUCCAUUAAAAAAAUUUAGAAGCAGUGACGAUUCUCUCGAAAGCUCCGACGAUCGCCUUCGGCGACCCUUUAUGCUUCGGCGGCGAUCCUCUCGAUCACCCUCUUCGGCCGCGACCCUCUCUAUUUCAUCCUCUUCGGCCGCAACCCUCUCGAUCUCUUCGAUUGAUCUCGAUCUCUUCAAUUGAUCUCUACCGUUUCUCAUCUCGUCGCCUGCCGUAUCUCGUCAUCUAAGAGGCUCGAUCUCAUCUCCAUCUACCGUAUCUCAUCUCGUCACCUGACGUAUCUCGUCACCUAAGAGGCUCGAUCUCAUCUCCAUCUUCUCGAUCGUUAUAUUCGUUGCCAGGAACUCGGGUUUCGAAAAUCAGGAAGCUGAAGAUCAGCCAGCACAGACCAAGUGGGUCCAGGGUUAAGUUUGACGAGGAAGGCAAUCCAGUGGCUCCCUUAGCAAUAGUAGCUGCCACAACUGAGACUGAAGUAGCCCUUGAUGAAGAGGCAAGGAAGGAUUACUAUAAGAAACUGGGAGAGCAACUGAGGAAAGUGGAUCAUGAGGACAAGAAAGUGGAGAGGGAAAAGAGGAGGGAGAAGAGAAUGAAAGAAAAGAUUAAGAGGAAGCAAGGAGAGAUGGAGGAGGAGGAAGAAGAAGAAGAAGGCCAUGAAGGCUCUGCAUCAUCAUCAGAAGAAACAGGACGAAAACGCAAAAGAGCAAAGAAGAUGUACUUUGAUGAUAAUGGUGAUGGAGAUGAAGAAAAGGAAGGAGGAAAAAUCAAUACAGAUGCCAUCUCCACAGCUGAGCUUGAGGAGAUGGCUCUCAAACUGAUAACGCAGUCAUGAAAAUCUCACAUAGGAAACGUUUUGUCUGUCUAGGCUCCCUCUUUCCGCAUUCGCCGUUUUGCCGAUUCUCCCAAGGAAGCACUUCAUUUUUAUGAACCAAUGUGAUAGUUUCCUACAA